AGUUUAAGCAUGUAGGUAUGAUCGGAUCAUAUUUAUAUAUAUUUUUACUUCGAAUUCACUCGUCUUUUCUUGGUUAGUUCCUUAUAUUUUUGAGCUAUUUACGUUAUUUUUGUGUUUAUAGGAUCUGUUAUGCAAAUUUACCCUUUAUUGUCAAAUGAUAAUACUAAUUUACAUUUUAUAAACAAUGUUUGUCCCUCUCUAUGUCUAUAUAUUGAAAGAAAAGCAGAAAAAAAAAAUAAUAAGAAGUGAGGAGAAACGGUGGGAAAGUGAGGGUCAGAGAAAUAAAGGGAGCUGCCCUUUUGGGCAGCGUGAAAGUGGAAAGGCAGAAGCAGGAAAUAAUGAGAAGUGGGGAAAAUAAUAGAACAAAGGUGAGGAAGGAGACACGGGACCCAGGGAGGACAACACGUGAAAGGAUCCAAGAGAGAGACUGGUGAGCAGCUGGCGUGGGAAAGUCAGAAAGGAGAGACAAACCAGCGGAAAAAUAAUAGAAAAUAGAGAAAGCAGAAGAGAGCGGGGGGGGGGAAGAGAGGGCGCUGCCCUUUGGGCAGCGUGAAGCUGCGGAGCGAAAAAGAUAGAAAGCGCAGGGAGGAUAGGACCGAGAGGAGGCGCUGCCUUUGGGCAGCGUGAGAGAAGAGAAGACAGAGUGAAGACGCGGGGAAUUGGAAGGAGGGCAAGUCAGGGACUUGCUAGGCGCAGAAAUAAGCACAGGGAAGAAGACUGGCGAGGAAAAAGAGGUCAGAGUGCGACAGCCAGGGAAGAAGAGGAGCACAGAGGCAGAGGGCUUCACUCCGUUCUUAUUGGUGUUAUCUUCUCAAACUCAUGUUUUACGUUUGGUUUAAUUUGUUAAUAAUAUGUAACUAAUUUAUUUUGGCUAGAGGUUAAUUCAAAGCCAUGAAUAUAUUUGUAAUAUGAAUUGAUUACCUUCAGUUGUGAUUUCUGGGUUGUGAUUUAAUUUGCUUAACUGCUUGAUUGAUAACUUAUUUUUGUAUGUCGAUUAAG
rnacentral:lncRNA from 1 species